GAGGAACAGGAAGAAGCCGACAUGGCGAGCCGAGCCCCGCGUAGAGGCGGCGCAAGCGCAGCAGCCGGAGCGGAUGGGGAGCAGGGAGCGAAGUUUUGUUCGUUUGUUAAUCCCUUUGGAUGCUGCUCUCUGGGAGGACUGGGGAGUUGCUCCUGUUUUGAUAGUGUAGACAGCAUUUUCUCACAAAGUUGUGCUGUGCCCACGUAGAGAUUCACAGGGGUGCAACUACUACUAGAGCUAUAAAUAGAGUCUCAAAUCUACUUAAAACCGUAGGUUUAGAGAAGAAGAAAGCAGCGGUGUAUAAAAAUCAAUUAUGUUCUUCUUAACGGCUGUUGAGUGUGACUCUAGUUCCUUUUCAUUUCUUUCUUUUCAUUCUGAAGUUCGAGAAACAAGCCAGUGUGCCUGAGAAUAAGGGAAUCCUUCCAACAUACACCACCAACUGGUUGUCUCUGAGUAGUUGUGAGCAGAAGUUGCAACUUUCCUUCACCAGCAUUUCCACAUUCAUUUUUUCCACACAGACAAACUCCUUUGUGGUCAUCAGGGUCACUGGUUACAGGUCAAAACCCCAUCAGCAGAAGCAGACACAAUGUGGCAAUCUCAUGCACCUAAGGUGCCACAUUGACGUGAAGAUUAAUGCUGCUUUUUGGUUUUUCUGCUAAAGCAAUGUUGGAGGGAAGUGGUCUCUCACUUGUAGGUAGGUCUCCCAGCACUUUGGUUGUCCCUGACAGUUCUUUCAUUUGGAUAGGCAGUAUUUCAGCUUUUUACUAAGCUGGUUUUGCUUUUUAAGCUGUAAUUGUAGAUGUCAUAUGAUUGUAUUUGAAUUUUAGUUUAGAAUUCUUCUGUGCCUUACCUACUUACAUAGGUUGUGGAUGCCCCAUCCCUGGAUGGGUUCAGAGCCAGGCUGGAUAUGGCUCUGGGCAGCCUGGUGUAGUGGUUGGCAACCCUGCACAUAGCAGGGGCGUGAAACUAGAUGAUCUUUGAGGUCCUUUUCAGCUCAGGCCAUUCUGUGAUUCUAUGAUACCUACUCCAACAUCUCUUCCUUAAAUAGACCCUUACCCAACGUUUGUGAGAAACAUCCCAGACACAGAUUCAUACCACUUUUCUUGGAAGUGAGAGAAGAGAUAAAAUGUCUAUGGCCUUUUAUUAUUAAAAAGAUAAAAAUAAAUUUAUCUUCCAAACAAA